rnacentral:rRNA from 1 species
UACAGAGAGUGCAAGCGUUAAUCGGAAUUAUUGGGCGUAAAGCGCAUGUAGGCGGAUGCCUAAGUCGGACGUGAAAGCCCCGGGCUUAACCUGGGAAUUGCGUUCGAUACUGGGCAUCUUUGAAUAUGGUAGAGGGAAGUGGAAUUUCUGGUGUAGCGGUGAAAUGCGUAGAUAUCAGAAAGAACAUCAGUGGCGAAGGCGGCUUCCUGGACCAAUAUUGACGCUAAAGUGCGAAAGCGUGGGGAGCAAA